rnacentral:rRNA from 1 species
CCUACGGGCGGCAGCAGUGAGGAAUAUUGGUCAAUGGACGAGAGUCUGACCCAGCCAAGUAGCGUGAAGGAUGACUGCCCUAUGGGUUGUAAACUUCUUUUAUAAAGGAAUAAAACGAGGCACGUGUGCCUUUUUGCAUGUACUUUAUGAAUAAGGAUAGGCUAACUCCGUGCCAGCAGCCGCGGUAAUACGGAGGAUCCGAGCGUUAGCCGGAUUUAUUGGGUUUAAAGGGAGCGUAGAUGGGUUGUUAAGUCAGUUGUGAAAGUUUGCGGCUCAACCGGAAAAUUGCAAUUGAUACUGGCAGUCUUGAGUACAGUUGAGGUAGGCGGAAUUCGUGGUGUAGCGGUGAAAUGCUUAGAGAUCACGAAGAACCCCGAUUGCGAAGGCAGCUUACUAAACUGUGACUGACAUUGAUGCUCGAAAGUGUGGGUAUCAAACAGGAUUAGAUACCCUUGUAGUC